UGGGGUAUUUAUUCGGGGGGGUGCGUCGGAUUAUUUUUUUUCUCUCUCUUCCUGUUGUUGUUCUUGUUAUGGUUCUCUUUGUUCUUGUUAAAAUUACGCGAGGCACACACACGGUUUUCGGGAGGGAUGCACCUUUAUUCUGAUUUUCUUUGCAGCCGGGGACGGCUGCGAGCUGUACAGGGGGGGGGGGUGAUGUAGAGGUGUAAUUGUGCAUGGCCACGGAUGUUGAGGUGUAAUUGUGCAUGGCCACGGAUGGCCAACAAACACAAGGGGCGGGGUUACGGCCGUACACAGGGGAGGUGCUCGCACCGACGUCCGCACCUGCAUCCCCCACGGGCCCCUCCCGGGGGCCGAGUCCUAUAAAAGGUGGUGAGCCGGAGGGCUCGAGGUCGGAACUCAGCUUUAACCAGAGAAGAAGGAAGACCUACUAGAAUAGGCCCCAGAGCUCCCCUGGCUCGCUGUCCUUAUAAGGGCCGACCAGGGCAAGCCGGUGACGUGACUUUACCGAAAGAACCAAAGAGUAAUUCCUGCAGUCACGAAAGCUCCAAAUUAAGAUUGAUGGGAAUGUGUUCAGAUCUUUGAAGGAUUUAUGUUCUCCUCACACAAUUCAGCCUGGUUAAACACAAAAUGGAUAUUUGGUUCUUUCAGUAAAGUCACGUAGGUGUUGCGCCAUAACAAGGCGCUGUAAGGAGCUUACCUGCCAGCACGCUCACGGGCCGACAGGGGGCAGCCGAGACAGAGCGAGGUGGGAGGCCCGUGACCGGAGGUUGACACCCCAGACCCCCCAGGGGCUAGGGGCUGAGGGGGAUGGGCUCCCCUCACCCCUUCCUAAGACCCCUUAAGAUUUAAGACCCUCUAAGACCUUCCAGAAGGUUCUGGAGGGGGGGUCAUGAGGGGAGGGGUAAGCCCAACCUGGGGAUAAAAAGCCGAUCCUCUGAACGGGUCCAGCAGUGUUCGCCAACUCAAGCUUGAAUACAUCUGAAGACCUGAAAACUGGACCAGCACCCGGGAACCCUCAACCGAGGCUCUCGUUAGAGCCGGGUUGUGGCGGACCCGAGGUAGCUCGGACACCCUGGGACCCUCCCCGAGGCUCUGGUCAGAGCCGUGGUGUAGCGGACCAGGGGUGAGCCCCGUACCCUGCCUGGGACGGGUCGGUCCAGUCUUCCCUUAGCCGCCGUGGCAAGGGACCGGUGUGUAGAGUAGCCUGGAGUGUGUAGGACGUGCUAGAAGGGAGUGUGUACCUCCCUUAGGCUAUCGGGUUGAAGGGGCCCACUUCAGCAAUUGUUUCUUGCUGUGGUUGUCCCACCUGAUGACGGGCGCUUGUGUUACAACCGAAACGUCGUGAUUUAAUUAAUUUUAUUUUAUACCUACGCGACUUUACCGAAAGAACCAAAGAGUAUGGAUCCCUGCAGUCAUGAAAACGUCAAAUCUAGAUUGACAAAAUGGAUCAUAGGCAGGCCAACCUGAAAAUUUUUAACCGGUGCAGAUAUUCUAUGAGAGGGGUCCACAUUCCGCAAGCAAAGAAAAGGAAGGGCAAGACUGUUUCCGAAAAUACCGUGAUCUUUGUGUCGAGUGACAGACCAGGUAGCUUCCACACAGCAUUAAGCAGCUGAUCAAAAUAUAAUGCCGCUUGACUGAUUCGGAGUGAGAGCUCUGCUGCCAAUCUGGAGUUGGUCAUGAGCACACAGCCCAGGUAUGGACACUUCUCUACUCUCUCCACAACUGCACCAUCACGGUGGGGAGUUGACUCAGUGGAGUAUUGGAUUAUACAAAAUACAUGAGCAGGUGCUUAAUUUGGUGAGGCUGAUAGUAAGGCCUAUCUCUUAGUGGCACGCUGCAGGUUUAGCAGCAGAACCUUCAACUCAUCAGUGGGCAGCAACCACCAGAUCAUCACUGUGCAUAACAUGGUUGACCAGGAGGAUCAGCCUCCCAUUGUAUCUGUACCAGAUUAAAAUUCCACAGGUACAGCCAUAGAAGGCUUCUCGAAUUACAUGGUCGAACAUGAUGUAAACAAUGCAGGAGCCAGAUGCUGUCGCACCCCAAGAUGAACAGGGAACGGCUGCGAAUGGUGUUGCUCAUGAGCGGGAAUUGAAUUCGGGUCGCCAGGUUCAUAGUGCAUACAUAUGUAGAGGUGUAAUUGUGCAUGGCCACGGAUGUUGAGGUGUAAUUGUGCAUGGCCACGGAUGGCCAACAAACACAAGGGGCGGGGUUACGGCCGUACACAGGGGAGGUGCUUGCACCGACGUCCGCACCUGCAUCCCCCACGGGCCCCUCCCGGGGGCCGAGUCCUAUAAAAGGUGGUGAGCCGGAGGGCUCGAGGUCGGAACUCAGCUUUAACCAGAGAAGAAGGAAGACCUACUAGAAUAGGCCCCAGAGCUCCCCUGGCUCGCUGUCCUUAUAAGGGCCGACCAGGGCAAGCCGGUGGCGUGGCCCCGAGAGCCCAGACUGACGAGCUGGUCUGGAGACUCAGGGUGCCGGGAUCUCAGCUUGACCAGGGCUGGGAUAGAUAGCCUCCCCUAGCUCCGUAGUGGAGGAAUUGGGCAUAGGUUAGCGGGGUUAGCUGUUGUGUAUCCCUGUAGCCAAGUGACCCGUAAUUACUGUGUGUGCACAAGUUGGUGUAAUAAACAAGUGUGCCUCCGAUCCUGUCGUCAAGCCUCCUACAUACUUACUACACAUAUACUCAUGCAUGCCGUUGAGGUCACUUACUUUGAGAAGUCUCAUGGAAGCUGCAACCAAAGUCUGUUACCCGCACGGUCCCAGCCAUGGGGUCCUUGACCAAGAUAUUGCCCUAGACCAGAGGACGGUAACGAAAAUAACAAGAUAAAAAAAUGUAUUCGGUUAAAGAAACUCAAUCUUUCAAGAGCCGUAAUGCACUGUGUGGUGAAUAGGAGAUGGUGGUCCUGAAUAAAUAACGUUACGAAGCAGUCCUUAAAGAGCCACACGCGGCUCCGGAGAUGCAGGUUACCGAUCCCUGCCCUAGAUGAAGAGGGGCAGAAGUCGUUCACGCUCAGAGGUUACGAAAAUCUAAAUUUCGGGAAGCAGAAGAUGACGGAUCAUUUAAAAGGUGUCCAAUGAAGUGAAGGUCUGUCGACUUUAGAAAAGGGAAUAUUUUUUUUCACUUGCCAGGUGACCUUUGUAGCAACUUGACGUUUGGCCGAUAAUACUCCGCACACGCUCGCAAAAUAGCCUGCGUCGCUCACUUGGCAGUAAACGUUAAAGAUCCCACGACGUCACUCGUCACGGUCCAGGUUUGGCCCAAAUAUAAAAGGUUACACCAGAAAUCACUCAAUUGGGACAAAGAUGAAGAUCCCCGGAAUGGAACAAGAAGGGUGUGAAUGCCAAAUGUGCUAAAUUAUUCGUGUUGAUAAUAAUAAAAAUUGUAAAUGUUAUUGGCGAGAUCACCUUCGGGCGAAUUGCUGACGAGGGGCAUGCGCGCACUGGACGGUUGAUGGUCGCAGUCCGGGUCACCUCCCUGCUCAGCUCUCCCAACAGCUGCUUUGGGUGGGGCUGCUCCACACACAGAGACAAAGGGGGCAGAAGAGACGCAAGCUCGAGACCAGGAAGAGGAGCUGGGACAGAGCGAGCGAGGGAGCCACGCAGGCCAGCGUGGGGGUGUUCAACAUGGGGCUCACGCCUGGGGGGUGCUCGUGCCGCUGCUGCUCACCAAUGGCUUCAGCGUGGAGGCGCCGUUGGGCCGCACGCGCGGCGAGGCCGAGCAGCUGGCGGCCAAGGUGCGCGUCCCCUUCUCCAGCAGCAGCUGCAUGGGCAGCGUGCCGCUCCACCAGCUCGGGGACCUCAUGCGCAUCUUCAACCCGCCAGAGCUCAGCUGUCGGAUCGCGGUCAAGGCCCUGGGAUCAGCUCCCACUCGAGAGUGGUCCUCCCCUGGCUGCUGUUUGUGCUGCAACUGUUUAGGACCGGUAGAGCAGACUGCUUCUGGUCUCCCACCCAGUAACUCUGCUGUCUCUUUACCCCAUUGUCACCCAACCCAGAAAACUCACCGACACUGUUACCUCAUCCAUCAGACACAAACCCCCAUACUUUCUCAAACAAUGGCAUCUCUAAUCUUAUGUUAAUUCUGUUCCUGCAGUCUUCCACAAUUCAUGAUAUUUGUUUCAUAGGUAUCCACCUGUUACUCGUAGCUUAAACAUUAAUCACAGACAUGCAAAAAUAUCUACAUGCUAGUAACGCCAUUUAGCACAGCACUCUAGUAUAAAAUACAUUAAAAAACAAUACAUGUUUA